AGUGAAGGCCUCCACAGGAAAGUAAAGGGUACUUCACAGAACAAGCUUGGUGUAUCUCAAAAGAUGAUCUUUGACUUCUUUGUCACCAUCUGCAAGGUGAUCUUCCUACCUCAAACCGUUGAUUAACGGGGACAGAAAGCUAGAAGUACAGUUCUCUUUCAAAUAAAAGGUCAAAUGUGUCUCCCAUUGGAUAUUCUGACUGAUUAUGUAAACUUGCUUCAAUCAAUCUGGCGGUUCUCAUUGUCUCAAUUAGCACCGCUGUAUUAGAUGCGAUAGGAUUUUCCUUGGUCAAUUCAGGCUAUUCAGCUUCAAUGAACAGGGCGAAACAUAAAUAAGAGGGCGACCAAUGAAAAAGGAAAGAGGGCCUUGCUGAUGCAUUUCGGUCUCUGGAGGUCUAAUCUGCUGCUGCUGCUCUUUCUUUUUCCUUCUUGGCAAGUUUGAAUUCGCCGUAAAAAUACGAAGCGAAGCCCCAGAGUGAGAGGGCGAGGGACACGCCUUUCCCUGCCUGGAACUUCUCCUGGAAGAUUAUGACAGCUAGGAUCUCAAUGACCGGGAGAAGAACGGCGAUGAUGAUUCCUGAGAAUAGAGAGGAGGCACAGAAGACGACUCCUAUGGCUCCUAAGAAUAAGAAUUGAUAGAUGAUCGCGUUCCACGCGAGCACCACAUAAUAUGCGGCUUCUCCGAGCUCGUAGUUCCUUGCUUCUGUAGGAAUCGCCUGCGUAAGCAUGAUGUCAGGAGCAACCUUAUGUCAUUCUGAUCAUAGUUUUUAGUUUUCCCGUUUCAGUGGUUUCUUAAUUAUAGAACUUCAAUCGAAGGAGACUAAAGUAUUGUUAUUGUCUUACCAUCCAAA